rnacentral:rRNA from 1 species
UGUUUAAUAAAAACAUUUYUGAGAAAAUUUUCAGUAUACUCUGCCCAGUGUUAAUAUAUAAAUGGCCGCGUAGCGCUAAGGUAGCGUAAUUACUUGCUUUUUAAAUAAAAGAUUGAUUGAAAGAGUGAACUUGGAGCUAUUGUUUUUUUAGUAUAUGAAUUUAAUAAUUUUGUCAAAAUUCAAUUGAUGAGUAGGGGACGAGAAGACCCUAGAAUUUUAAGUUUUUACUUUUAAUGGGGCAUUACCUUGGUAAACAAGGGAUAAGAUUUGAUGGAAGAAAAAUUACUCUAGGGGUAACAGGGCAAUUUAAUUGAAAGUUCAUAUUAAAAAUUAAGUUUGCUACCUCGAUGUUGAAUUAGAGGGUAGCCUUAGGGCAUAAAAUAAGGUUAUAGGGCCUGUUCGGCCUAAAUAUCUCUACAUGAUUUGAGUUUAAACCGG